AUUGAACGCUGGCGGCAGGCUUAACACAUGCAAGUCGAGCGAGCGGCGGACGGGUGAGUAAUGUCUGGGAAACUGCCUGAUGGAGGGGGAUAACUAGUGGAAACGGUAGCUAAUACCGCAUACCAUCAGAUGUACCCAGAUGGGAUUAGCUAGUCGGUGGGGUAAUGGCGCACCUAGGCGACGCUACCUAGCUGGUCUGAGAGGGUGAACAGCCACACUGGAACUGAGACACGGUCCAGACUCCGACGGGAGGCAGCAGUGGGGAAUAUUGCACAAUGGGCGCAAGCCUGAUGCAGCCAUGCCGCGUGAGUGAAGAAGGCCUUCGGGUUGUAAAGCACUUUCAGCGAGGAGGCGUUACUCGCAGAAGAAGCACCGGCUAACUCCGUGCCAGCAGCCGCGGUAAUUC
rnacentral:rRNA from 1 species